rnacentral:rRNA from 1 species
UGGGGAAUAUUGGACAAUGGGGGCAACCCUGAUCCAGCCAUGCCGCGUGUGUGAAGAAGGCCUUUUGGUUGUAAAGCACUUUAAGCAGGGAGGAGAGGCUAAUGGUUAAUACCCAUUAGAUUAGACGUUACCUGCAGAAUAAGCSCCGGCUAACUCUGUGCCAGCAGCCGCGGUAAUACAGAGGGUGCGAGCGUUAAUYGGAAUUACUGGGCGUAAAGCGAGUGUAGGUGGCUCAUUAAGUCACAUGUGAAAUCCCCGGGCUUAACCUGGGAACUGCAUGUGAUACUGGUGGUGCUAGAAUAUGUGAGAGGGAAGUAGAAUUCCAGGUGUAGCGGUGAAAUGCGUAGAGAUCUGGAGGAAUACCGAUGGCGAAGGCAGCUUCCUGGCAUAAUA